rfam:Pan troglodytes isolate Yerkes chimp pedigree #C0471 (Clint) chromosome 10, whole genome shotgun sequence.
GCCAGGUGUGGUGGCACACACCUGUAGUCCCAGCUACUUGGGAGGCUAAGGUGGGAGGAUCGCUUGAGCCCAGGAAGUCUAGGCUGCAGUGAGCCAUGAUUGCAUCACUGCACUCCAGCCUGGGCAACAGAGCAAGACCUUGUCUCAA